AUAACCCCGGGAAACUGGGGAUAAUACCCCAUAGGCUAUGAAUGCUGGAAUGCUUCGUAGUUAAAAGGUCAGCCGCCAUAGGAUGGGUCUGCGGCCGAUUAGGUAGUUGUUGGGGUAACGGCCCAACAAGCCUGUAAUCGGUACGGGUUGUGGGAGCAAGAGCCCGGAGAUGGAUUCUGAGACACGAAUCCAGGCCCUACUGGGCGCAGCAGGCGCGAAAACUUUACAAUGCGGGAAACCGUGAUAAGGGAACUCCGAGUGCCCGUUAAAUCGGGCUGUCCAUCAGUUUAAAAAACUGGUGAAGAAAGGGCCGGGCAAGACCGGUGCCAGCCGCCGCGGUAAUACCGGCGGCUCGAGUGGUGGCCACUAUUACUGGGCUUAAAGCGUUCGUAGCUGGUUUGUUAAGUCUCUGGGGAAAUCUUCCGGCUUAACCGGAAGGCGUCUCAGGGAUACUGGCAGACUAGGGACCGGAAGAGGUGAGGGGUACCCCAGGGGUAGGAGUGAAAUCCUGUAAUCCUUGGGGGACCACCUGUGGCGAAGGCGCCUCACCAGGACGGCUCCGACAGUGAGGGACGAAAGCUGGGGGAGCAAACCGGAUUAGAUACCCGGGUAGUCCCAGCCGUAAACGAUGUGCGUUAGGUGUAUCGGUGACCACGAGUCACCGAGGUGCCGAAGAGAAAUCGUGAAACGUACCGCCUGGGAAGUACGGUCGCAAGGCUGAAACUUAA
rnacentral:rRNA from 1 species